CGAACUGUCCAAACGUUGUUCGGAAUCACUGGGCUUAAAGGGCGCGUAGGCGGUCGAUCAAGUCAGGGGUGAAAUCCUGCAGCUUAACUGUAGAAGUGCCUUUGAUACUGAUCGUCUGGAGGGAGAUAGGGGCGUGUGGAACUUCCAGUGGAGCGGUGAAAUGCGUUGAUAUUGGAAGGAACGCCGGAGGCGAAAGCGACGCACUGGAUCUCUUCUGACGCUGAGGCGCGAAAGCUAGGGGAGCAAACGGGAUUAGAUACCCCGGUAGUCCCAGCCCCAAACGAUGGGUACUAGAUUGUAGACUGAUCAUGGGUUUACAGUCGAAGCAAAAGUGUUAAGUACCCCGCCUGGGGAGUAUGGUCGCAAGGCUG
rnacentral:rRNA from 1 species